rnacentral:tRNA from 1 species
GCCGCGGUGCCCGAGCGGCCCAAGGGGACGGAUUGCUAAUCCGUUCCCCGUAAGGGGGCGCGGGUUCGAAUCCCGCCCGCGGCG